UUGCUUCAGCAGCACAUAUACUAAAAUUGGAAUGAUACAGAGAAGAUUAGCAUGGUCUAUGGGCAAGGAUGACACACAAAUUCGUGAAGCACUCCAUAUUUUU
ensembl:snRNA U6 U6 spliceosomal RNA